GGUAACCUAACCUAUGCAGGGGAAUAACCUCGGGAAACUGAGUAUAAUGCCCCAUAGUCCACUACGCCUGGAACGGUGAGUGGAUAAAAGCUCAGGCGGCAUAGGAUGGGCCUGCGGCGUAUCAGGUCGUAGGGGGUGUAAAGUACCCUCUAGCCAUCUACGCGUACGGGUGUUGGGAGACAUAGCCCGGAGAUGGAUUCUGAGACACGAAUCCAGACCCUACGGGGUGCAGCAGGCGCGAAAACUUGACAAUGCGAGCAAUCGUGAUCAGGGAACUCCAAGUGGCUGGGGUAAGACCCAGUCUUUUCAUAACUCUUCAAAGGUUGUAGAAUAAGGGGUGGGUAAGGACGGUGCCAGCCGCCGCGGUAAUACCGGCGCCUCAAGUGGUAGUCGCUUUUAUUGGGCCUAAAACGUCCGUAGCCGGUUUGGUACAUUCGUGGGUAAAUCAACUCGCUCAACGAGUUGAAUUCUGCGAGGACGGCCAGACUUGGGACCGGGAGAGGUGUGGGGUACUCUCAGGGUAGGGGUAAAAUCCUGUCAUCCUGAGAGGACCACCUGUUGCGAAGGCGCCACACUAGAACGGAUCCGACGGUCAGGGACGAAGCCUAGGGGCACGAACCGGAUUAGAUACCCGGGUAGUCCUAGGUGUAAACGCUGUGGACUUGAUGUUGGAGAAGCUCCGAGCUUCUUCAGUGUCGAAGCGAAGGUGAUAAGUCCACUGCCUGGGAAGUACGGUCGCAAGGCUGAAACUUAAAGGAAUUGGCGGGGGAGCACCGCAACCUGAGGAUUGUGCGGUUU
rnacentral:rRNA from 1 species